AGUGAACGCUGGCGGUAGGCCUAACACAUGCAAGUCGAACGGCAGCACAGUAAGAGCUUGCUCUUACGGGUGGCGAGUGGCGGACGGGUGAGGAAUACAUCGGAAUCUACUUUUUCGUGGGGGAUAACGUAGGGAAACUUACGCUAAUACCGCAUACGACCUACGGGUGAAAGCAGGGGAUCUUCGGACCUUGCGCGAUUGAAUGAGCCGAUGUCGGAUUAGCUAGUUGGCGAGGUAAAGGCCCACCAAGGCGACGAUCCGUAGCUGGUCUGAGAGGAUGAUCAGCCACACUGGAACUGAGACACGGUCCAGACUCCUACGGGAGGCAGCAGUAGGGAAUAUUGGACAAUGGGCGCAAGCCUGAUCCAGCCAUACCGCGUGGGUGAAGAAGGCCUUCGGGUUGUAAAGCCCUUUUGUUGGGAAAGAAAAGCAGCAGGUUAAUACCCCGCUGUUCUGACGGUACCCAAAGAAUAAGCACCGGCUAACUUCGUG
rnacentral:rRNA from 1 species